CGACCACCGGGACGGGGGGGCGGCCGGCUGCACCCCUGGGGACAGGGGCGACACGGGGGGCAGGCCGUCAAGCGGCGGCCGAUGCGCGGCGACGAGCGGUGGAGCAUCCCGGCCGCGCUGCGCGCCCCGCUGCGCACCGGCCGGGCCGGGGUCCGCGGUGACAAUGGUGUGUCUUACCUAGCUGGACGCAGGCCGAGACAAGCUUACGGCAGUUGGACUCCAUCACCCGGUAUCUGCAAGAGACGAAGGGCGCUGGGUUGGUAAAACUGUGGUUUCCUCACUCUCCGUGAAGAAAAAUGCAUAUACAUAAGCAACUAUAAUAAUAGCAAUAGUAAUGAUAGCAAUAGUAAUGAUAGCAAUAAUAGUAACAACGAUAAUAACAACAAUAAUAAUUGUAACAACGAAAACUACAAUAAUUAUAGUAGUAGCAGCAGUAAUAAAGAAGCCCAGCUGCCCAGGAGAUGCCUCGCAGCGCGACCUGCGCAUCUCCCGAGCGGCCUCUCCCCGCUGGGAAGCAGCCUCGGCCUCCCUCCCUCCCUCCGCCCCUGUUUUUUUGGGGAGGAGGAGGAGGGUCGCCAGCCCCCCAGCCCGGGGAGCCCUGGCCCUGGCGAGGGUACCGGCGGGGCUCUCUGCCCGGAGGGAGAUGCGCGACCGCGGAGGCUCCGCGCCUGCCCCGGCCGGCGAGGCUGGGUAGUAAAAUCACGGGAUUAGCGCCUGAUUGAGAUGUCUGUUCGGGAGAUAUUACAAAAUUCAUUAUCGCAGCUCCCUACUAACUCGAUAUGAAGUAACACAGAUGGGAUUUUAUUAGCCCAGGCUUCAAGUGUUUACUUAUGGUAAUUUCGGGGGAAAUUUGCAUGGCACCAUCAUUUCGGCGAGCCUCCUUCUUCGCCUCCUUGCCGACGGGUGAAGCGGGCGCGCUGCUGCCCGGCCAUGCGAGCGGCCCCGGGCUGCGCACGGGCGAGAGGGGGACGGCGAAAAAUAAUAAGCAACGAAAAAAAGGAAGAAAAGGGGCGGAAAACGGGGAGUCCCGAGAGCCCCGAUAUGACACAGCGUUUCUACCCGCGGCCUGGGAGCAGCUCGGCUCCCCCAGCAGCCGGGCCUAGCGCAGGAGCCGCGCCCGAUUUAUUUGGGACGGCGGCGAGAAAAGCGCCGCCCGCCCCUGCUCCGGGACGGCCCCGGCUCCCCGCCGCCCUACAAAACUCCCCGGUCCCCUCGGAGCCCUGCAAAGCUCCCCGGUCCCCCCCGCAGGGCACAGCCCUGCCCGGCCCCACUGCCACCGCCCGCUCCGGCCUCACCUCCAGGCCCCCUAUAUUUGAUUUUUUUAUUUUUUAUUUUUUUAAAUUUGGAAAGCGCAGCGCAGAGCGGGGCCGGGAGGAGCGAGAAACAUUUUCCUAUUGUCUCCUGCCCGGCGCCUCAAUUAAAAGCGGCUCCGCUCGCCGCUUGCCUUUCCAUUUCCAUUUCUUCGUGCGCUCCCCGCUCACAAUUCGAUGUUUUGGCAGCCCCACACUCGCAGCCCCAGCGAGCGCACACACCGGGCGAGCUUUUCUUUCCCUUUCCUUUUCCUUUCCUAUUCCUUUUCCUUUCCUUUAUCUUUUCCUUUCCCAUUCCUAUUCAUUUUCCUUUCCCUUCCCGUUCCUAUUCCUUUUCCUUUCCCAUUCCAAUUCCUUUUCCUUUCCCAUUCCUAUUCCUAUCCAUCUUCCUUUCCUUUUUUCAGUUCCUUUCCCUUUCCCAUUCCUUUUCCAUUCCUUUCCCGUUCCCUUUCUUUUUCCAUUCCUUUCCCAUUCCCAUUCAUUUUCCAUUCCUUUCCCAUUCCCGUUCCCCUUCCUUUCCCCCUUUCCCUUCUUGCUGGGCCGGCUCCGCUCAGGAACAACCUGCUCGCAGCCCCGCCACUAUAAAAACUGCAGGACGCGAACAAUAAAGUGGUGCCGCACGAGAUUUCUUUCCUUUUUCCUUUUCUGCUUUUUUUUUUCCCCCCUCCUUUUUCGUACCUAUCGCUAUUCUUUCGAGGAAAACAAAUCAAUAAAUACACAAACUAGCCGAGCACCCCCGGCUAAUAUCUCAGCGGCGCCCGAAAUAACGAGGCCGGUGAUUUCGGCGCAGGGCUUUGCCCGGGCGGUUCGGCUCCGUGCGGGCCCUCUCCGCUCCGCAGCCGGGCCCCGCCGCUCCCCGGGGGCGAUACCGGGCCCAGGCCCCCCUCCCGUGAGCCCUCCCAGGGCCGCCGUUUGGGGCUCUGCGCGGCGGGGCCGGCUCCCCGCUGCCCGCCCCACCGGAGGAGGCCGUGGCACGGCGGGGACCCGUCCCCGCGCCCUCCUCGCCGGGGUAAAGCGCCACGACGGAGCGGGGAGAGGGAAGAAGAGGCAGCGCCGGCACCGCAGGGCUGCUCGGCGCCCCUGCUCUCCGGGGCCAGCCCGGUGCCGGUGUCCCCGGGUGGCAACCGCACGGCGACAGAUCUGCGAGCAGAGAGCUUACCUCCGGCAUGAGACCAGCAAGAAAAGGCAGCUCCUCGGCGAGAGGCAGUGCGAAGGCGAGAGAAGUUCAGGGAAGAAGAAAAAAAAAAUAGAAAAGAGCGGCGGUGCGAAAAUCUGUAGCCUCGGGGGCUAG
rnacentral:lncRNA from 1 species